rnacentral:rRNA from 1 species
GGAAGAACGCCUAGCGGUUAAUACCCGCUAGGAAAGACAUCACUCGCAGAAGAAGCACCGGCUAACUCCGUGCCAGCAGCCGCGGUAAUACGGAGGGUGCAAGCGUUAAUCGGAAUUACUGGGCGUAAAGCGCGCGUAGGUGGCUUGAUAAGCCGGUUGUGAAAGCCCCGGGCUCAACCUGGGAACGGCAUCCGGAACUGUCAAGCUAGAGUGCAGGAGAGGAAGGUAGAAUUCCCGGUGUAGCGGUGAAAUGCGUAGAGAUCGGGAGGAAUACCAGUGGCGAAGGCGGCCUUCUGGACUGACACUGACACUGAGGUGCGAAAGCGUGGGUAGCAAACAGGAUUAGAUACCCUGGUAGUCCACGCCGUAAACGAUGUCGACCAGCCGUUGGGUGCCUAGCGCACUUUGUGGCGAAGUUAACGCGAUAAGUCGACCGCCUGGGGAGUACGGCCGCAAGGUUAAAACUCAAAUGAAUUGACGGGGGCCCGCACAAGCGGUGGAGCAUGUGGUUUAAUUCGAUGCAACGCGAAGAACCUUACCUACUCUUGACAUCCUGCGAAUUUGGUAGAGAUACCUUAGUGCCUUCGGGAACGCAGAGACAGGUGCUGCAUGGCUGUCGUCAGCUCGUGUUGUGAAAUGUUGGGUUAAGUCCCGUAACGAGCGCAACCCUUGUCCUUAUUUGCCAGCGCGUAAUGGCGGGAACUCUAAGGAGACUGCCGGUGACAAACCGGAGGAAGGUG